ensembl:lncRNA
GUUAAUAAAUCAAGAGAUUUGAUGGGUAGAGCUGAUCACUGAAACGAUACCACCUGUAUUGUCAGGUAAAAACCGGUAAAUUCCACAAAGACUUCAUAUUAAGCUUAUCAUCUUUACAUUUUUAUUCAAAUAUGCGAAUUAUUUAAAUGUGGAGGCUUCAUUAUGAGGUAAUAAAAGUAGUGUAAUGGAUUAGUUUAACUUUUGAUUACCUUGUGGUUUCUAUUUGUAGCCUAUACACACUAUAAUACAAUAGGCUUACCUUUCCUUUCUUUUAAUCUUCAAAAGAAUUCAUUAUGGUUACCAGUGAUUAGAUUUCCAAAUGCCCCACAUUUAGACGGACAGAUAAACUGACAGCUUCGAUGAGCUAGUGAAUGAGUUGUUUCGGUCACUUUGAAAUAUGUGCUCAAGGUCUUCAGAAACUCCUUCAUAUGUCUUCAGUCGCCCAGAGAUAUGGAUUAAUGGCUUGUUGUCAUCUUAGUCCUUAAUCUGUGGGCACCAGGCAGCUCUGAACCUGACAGAUGUGUUAUUGGGUGAGGAUUGCCCUGCGGCCGGGCUGAGAGCGGGAAGAAGCGUGACUGACAUGUGCCUUACAUCAGUGGUGGAUGAUGGACAAGAGAUGCAGCUUAGCCACAUUCCUGCCAGUCCACACUCUCUCUCUCUCUCUCGCUCGGUGGAUGAUUUGGCAGUCACAGCAUACAGAAGGUACAACAGGUUUAUGAAGUGUUGGAAAUCUGGAACAACAUCCUAGAGAUAUCAGAGCUCAGUAGAGCAAUGUGGUGUCUGUCUUUUUUUUUCUUUUUAAUAUUGACAUGUUCAGUCAAGCAAUUUGUAUGCCAUCAUCCCUCAAUGAAAGGGAAAAUUCUCCAACUUUGCUUCCUCUCUAAUGACCUGUAAGCAUGUCAGGACUUCAGACGUUUGAAAGACAGCAUUUCUGCGUGCUCUGUACAAGCUGACGAGAUCAAAUAUCUCUUAAUGCUUGUAAUUCACUGUAAAUCAUGGUGACAAACGACUAUUAUCAUGGAUUUUGGGAAAUGUGAAAACUCAGCAUGCCAGGGGGAGCUGAGUCACUUUAACUCAAAUAAACAUACAGUUUAUAGUGAGGGUGUUUCAAGUCCAAACUUGAAUUACGUAGCCCUUCAUCAGCAAAGAACAGACUGUUUACCCAGUAAUGUUUAAAUGAAAAACUCCUCAAUGUCAGGUGUUUCAGUGGAUGUCAGAGUGUUGUCACCUGAGACACCGCAGUGUGUCUCGUCUUGCUUGAGGCCUAAUCAUUUUACACUAGACUGCUCAUUUGUCAGAUUAGUUUAAAUAAAAUACUGCAUCCUUGAGUGAUUUUCAUGUUACAUUCACAAGUAUAUUUCAGAAAUGUCUUCUUGGUUGCGAUGAUGCAUUUCAUAACAUAUUCGGAGUUGCAGAUAGUUAUGAUGACAUAGCAAUGUUACUACUGCUAUUUAUAAUUGUCAGCAAUUUACAGAGCAUAAUAUGAUUUUGUAAUUAGGGCUGGCAACUAAGAAUUGGUUCGCAAACACCAUUAUUCAGUCUACAGGGUGAAGCAUUUGUUGUUUAGUAUUGUUUGCUUAAUAUAUUUAAAGGAAUAGUUCGCCCAAAAAUUUAAAUUUGCUCACCUUCAGGCCAUCCAAUAUCUAGAUGAGUUUCUUUCUUCAUCUGAAAAGAUUUUGAUAAAUUAUAGCAAGAAACAAAUCCAUCAAGGCGUAUUUCCAAAAUAUGAGACCUCUGUCUAAAAUAUAAAAUGUUUCGACUGCAUCAGGAGAGAAAUAUGCACAGAUCAAACAGUUUCAAACGAAACAGUUUCAAAACCGUUCCAAACAAAUAUGUGGGUGGAUUUUGAUGUGAGACGACAACAGAAGAUGGACUUUUUCACUGGAGGAAGCAUUAUUAUACAUUAUGAACUCAAAUUUUAUUCAGAAGUGACGGUUUAAAUGAUGGAUUUGUUUAUUACAAACAUGAAGAUUUUAAUUUCACAAGAUGUUAACUGAUGUACUGGAGUGGUGUGGAUUUCUUGUGGAUUUUUGUGAGGUUUUUAUCAGCUGUUUGGACUCUCAUUCUGACGGCACCCAUUCACUGCAGAGGAUCCAUUGGUGAGCAAGAGAUGUAAUGCUACAUUUCUCCAAAUCUGUUCUGAUGAAGAAAUAAACUCAUCUACAUCUUGGAUGGCCUGAGGGUGAGAACAUUUAAAGCAAAUUUUCACUUUCAGUGAACUAUCCCUUUACGGGAAUACUCCACCCCAAAAUGAAAAUUUUGUCAUUAAUCACUUACCCCCAUGUUGUUCCAAGCCCGUAAAAGCUCCGUUUGUCUUCGGAACACAAUUUAAGAUAUUUUGGAUGAAAACCGGGAGGUCUGUGACUGUCCCAUAGACUGCUGAAUAAAUAACAG